rnacentral:rRNA from 1 species
UGGGGAAUAUUGCACAAUGGGCGCAAGCCUGAUGCAGCCAUGCCGCGUGUGUGAAGAAGGCCUUCGGGUUGUAAAGCACUUUCAGCGAGGAGGAAGGUGGUGAGCUUAAUACGCUCAUCAAUUGACGUUACUCGCAGAAGAAGCACCGGCUAACUCCGUGCCAGCAGCCGCGGUAAUACGGAGGGUGCAAGCGUUAAUCGGAAUUACUGGGCGUAAAGCGCACGCAGGCGGUUUGUUAAGUCAGAUGUGAAAAUCCCCGGGCUCAACCUGGGAACUGCAUUUGAAACUGGCAAGCUAGAGUCUCGUAGAGGGGGGUAGAAUUCCAGGUGUAGCGGUGAAAUGCGUAGAGAUCUGGAGGAAUACCGGUGGCGAAGGCGGCCCCCUGGACGAAGACUGACGCUCAGGUGCGAAAGCGUGGGGCAGCAAACAGGAUUAGAUACCCUGGUAGUCCACGCUGUAAAACGAUGUCGAUUUGGAGGUUGUGCCCUUGAGGCGUGGCUUCCGGAGCUAACGCGUUAAAUCGACCGCCUGGGGAGUACGGCCGCAAGGUUAAAACUCAAAGGAAUUG